GAAAGUUACUUCGGUACAUCGGUGACAGGUGGUGCAUGGUUGUCGUCAGCUCGUGUCGUGAGAUGUUGGUUAAGUCCCGCAACGAGCGCAACCCCUAUUGUUAGUUGCCAUCAUUCAGUUGGGCACUCUAGCGAGACUGCCGGUAAUAAACCGGAGGAAGGUGGGGAUGACGUCAAAUCAUCAUGCCCCUUAUGACCUGGGCUACACACGUGCUACAAUGGUUGGUACAACGAGUUGCGAGUCGGUGACGGCGAGCUAAUCUCUUAAAGCCAAUCUCAGUUCGGAUUGUAGGCUGCAACUCGCCUACAUGAAGUCGGAAUCGCUAGUAAUCGCGGAUCAGCACGCCGCGGUGAAUACGUUCCCGGGCCUU
rnacentral:rRNA from 1 species